rnacentral:rRNA from 1 species
GAUGAACGCUAGCUACAGGCUUAACACAUGCAAGUCGAGGGGCAGCACAAGGCAGCAAUGCUGAGGUGGCGACCGGCGCACGGGUGCGUAACGCGUAUCCAACCUUCCCGUUACUCUUGGAUAGCCUUCCGAAAGGGAGAUUAAUACAUGAUGGUGUUGAACUUCCGCAUGUUAUUUCAACUAAAGAUCUAUCGGUAACGGAUGGGGAUGCGUGACAUUAGAUAGAUGGCGGGGUAACGGCCCACCAUGUCCACGAUGUCUAGGGGUUCUGAGAGGAAGGUCCCGCACAAGGGAACUGGGACACGGUCAAGACUACUACGGGAGGAAGAAGUGAGGAAUAUUGGUCAAUGGCCGGAAGGCUGAACCAGCCAAGUAGCGUGAAGGAUGAAGCUUCUAUGGAUUGUAAACUUCUUUUAUACGGGAAUAAAACCUCCCACGUGUGGGAGCUUGUAUGUACCGUAUGAAUAAGCAUCGGCUAACUCCGUGCCAGCCGCCGCAGUAACAC